rnacentral:rRNA from 1 species
UUUCCGGUUGAUCCUGCCGGACCCCACUGCUAUCGGGGUGGGACUUAGGCAUGUUAGUUUGUGUCUUCAGGCUAUGGUGAGGACACGGCGGACGGCUCAGUAACACGUAGCUAACCUGCCCUCGAGACGGAGAUAACCCCGGGAAACUGGGGCUAAUACCCGAUAGGUGAGAAUGCCUGGAAUGGUUUCUCGCCCAAAGGAUGUGGAGCCAUGCUUCCAAUAUCGCCCGAGGAUGGGGCUGCGGCCGAUCAGGUAGUUGGUGAGGUAACGGCUCACCAAGCCUUUGACCGGUACGGGCCGUGAGAGCGGGAGCCCGGAGAUGGGCACUGAGACAAGGACCUAGGCCCUACGGGGCGCAGCAGUCGCGAAAACUCCGCAAUGCGCGCAAGCGCGACGGGGCUACCCCGAGUGCCGUCCGCUGAGGAUGGCUUUUCUCUGGUGUAAUGAGCCAGAGGAAUAAGGGGAGGGCAAGACUGGUGUCAGCCGCCGCGGUAAUACCAGCUCCCCGAGUGGUGGGGAUGUUUAUUGGGCCUAAAGCGUCCGUAGCCUGCCCGACAAGUCCUCCGUUAAAUCCAACGAUCUAAUCGUUGGGCUGCGGGGAAUACUGUUGAGCUAGGGGGCGGGAGAAGUCGACGGUACUCUUGGGGUAGGGGUGAAAUCCUAUAAUCCCAGGAGGACAACCAGUGGCGAAGGCGGUCAACUAGAACACGCCUGACGGUGAGGGACGAAAGCUGGGGUAGCGAACCGGAUUAGACACCCGGGUAGUCCCAGCUGUAAACGAUGCGGGCUAGGUGUUGGAGCAGCCACGAGCUGCUUCAGUGCCGCAGAGAAGUCGUUAAGCCCGCCGCUUGGGAAGUACGAUCGCAAGAUUGAAACUUAAAGGAAUUGGCGGGGGAGCACCACAAGGGGUGAAGCCUGCGGUUCAAUUGGAUUCAACGCCGGA